UUAGAGGAAGUAAAAGUCGUAACAAGGUUUCCGUAGGUGAACCUGCGGAAGGAUCAUUAUCGAAUGAACGUGGAGUCCGGUUGUAGCUGGCCUGCAAAGGCAUGUGCACGCCGCCUCCUUCAUCCACACACCCCUGUGCACUCGUGAGACGGAGGCGUAUUUUCUUCCCCGUUGUUCGGGGAGGGAUCGGUUUUCGUCUGCCAUUAAACAAACUCAAUUGAUUUAACUUGAAUGUAAUUGACGCAACUCGUCUAAUAAAUAUACAAAGUUUCAACAACGGAUCUCUUGGCUCUCGCAUCGAUGAAGAACGCAGCGAAAUGCGAUAAGUAAUGUGAAUUGCAGAAUUCAGUGAAUCAUCGAAUCUUUGAACGCACCUUGCGCUCCUUGGUAUUCCUUGGAGCAUGCCUGUUUGAGUAUCAUGAAAUUAUCGAAGCAAACAUUUUGUUAAUUCAACUGCCUUUGCUUUGGACUUGGGGGCCUGCAGAUCUCACAGUCUGCUCCUCUUAAACGCAUUAGCUGGAUUCUCAGCGAGCUUGGUUCCACUCGGCGUGAUAAGUAUCACUCGCCGAGGACACCCGUUGAAAAAGGUGGCCAGGCCUGCAGACGAACCGCUUCCAACGGUCUAUUGACUUAGACAAUGAAUUUACGAUCUGAUCUCAAAUCAGGUAGGACUACCCGCUGAACUUAAGCAUAUCAAUAAG
rnacentral:rRNA from 1 species